GUACUUUUCAUCAACAAGCUGGAUACUUCAUGUUUAUAGUAAGGACAAGUACUUCUCAUCAACAAGCUGUGAUUGUUUUACCAGUGCAUUAUAGAAAUCAAUGUUAAUCUGAACAAUUCUCAAUGACAAUGUUCAACAGUUUGAAUAUUUUAGACCAAGCAUGAGGAUAUUGAUAGGUAAUACUUCAAGUGUAUCUCAACACCACUAUCCAGUUUGACAGCUACAUGCAUACUUAUAUACUUACUGUUCCCUGUUACCGUCAUUGUGUUCAAUCAGACUCAAACCAAAAGUCAGGACGAGCUGUCCUCCUGAAGCGAAACU